rnacentral:tRNA from 1 species
GGCUUGGUAGCUCAGUUGGUUAGAGCGCCGCCCUGUCACGGCGGAGGUCGUGGGUUCGAGCCCCAUCCGAGUCGCCA